AACGAACGCUGGCGGCAUGCCUAACACAUGCAAGUCGAACGAGACCUUCGGGUCUAGUGGCGCACGGGUGCGUAACGCGUGGGAACCUGCCCUUAGGUUCGGAAUAACUCCCCGAAAGGGGUGCUAAUACCGGAUAAUGUCUUCGGACCAAAGAUUUAUCGCCUUUGGAUGGGCCCGCGUUGGAUUAGCUAGUUGGUAGGGUAAAAGCCUACCAAGGCGACGAUCCAUAGCUGGUCUGAGAGGAUGAUCAGCCACACUGGGACUGAGACACGGCCCAGACUCCUCCGGGAGGCGGGAGUGGGGAAAGGGGAAAAGGGGCGGAAGGCUUGAAACAGCAUGGCGCGGGGAGUUAUGAAGGCAUGGGGGUGGAAAGGUUUUUUUAACGGGGAAGAUAAUGACAGUACCGAAAAAAAAAGCCCCGGCUAACUCCGUG
rnacentral:rRNA from 1 species